rnacentral:rRNA from 1 species
UACGUAGGGUGCGAGCGUUGUCCGGAAUUAUUGGGCGUAAAGAGCGUGUAGGCGGCUCGGUAAGUCCGCUGUGAAAGUCCAGGGCUCAACCCUGGAAUGCCGGUGGAAACUGUCGAGCUAGAGUCCGGAAGAGGUAAGCGGAAUUCCUGGUGUAGCGGGUGAAAUGCGUAGAUAUCAGGAGGAACACCUGUGGUGUAGAGCAGCUUACUGGACCACUUCUGACGCUGAGACA